UGAGGAAUAUUGGACAAUGGGGGCAAGCCCUGAUCCAGCCAUGCCGCGUGCAGGAAGACUGCCCUAUGGGUUGUAAACUGCUUUUAUACAGGAAGAAACACCUCUACGUGUAGAGGACUUGACGGUACUGUAAGAAUAAGGAUCGGCUAACUCCGUG
rnacentral:rRNA from 1 species